UUUUUAACUAAUAAAUUUUAACUAAUAAUAAGCAUCUAGCUGCUCAACAUCUGAAACUACUAACUUAACUCAUGUAUAGGCAUCUACAUAACAGUAAAACCAUAAUCAGCAUUUAUUCUAAAGCAAAUGUGCAAAAUCUUGUAAUUGCAUUAUAUUAUAUGUAAAAGAAUACAAUAGUUAAUAAUUGAAAGAAUUAUUAGGAAGAAAAAAUUAAAUAAAUAUGUAUACUAAUUCAAUUUUUAUCUUCAAAUAUUUCAUAAAAUCUUUUGUAACAGUAUAAGUAACAUUACAACCUAUAAGCAUACCAUAAGAUAGUUACUGUGAUAAGAAAUUGUAAAACUCCUACAUUUGUUUGUACUAUUAAAAUCAAUCACACACCUUUUGGAUCGUCUGGUGCAGCAUUCCACUACAAAUCCAAAUCCAGAGGAACUAAUUCCAUUGUUAUAAUCAUAGGAAGAUUUGUUUUGUAUUUUAAUCCAAAUUCCAUUGGUUCCAAUACUGCUCCAGUCUCUUAAUUACACUGAGUUAUGUAACAAGAUAAGUGAAACAUAAGAAACAAACUUUUGGAAAUUUUUCCCGAAACAUUCGUUUUAAAGUGAAAAGUGUCUAAUACAAAUAUUAAAUCCUCAGUAUCAUUUCAACUUUUGUUCUUUUUCUAAAUAACUAUUUUAUAUCUAUCUAUUUGUUUACUAUUCUGUGUGAUUAAGGUAUUUAUCUGUAAAUAAUUUUACAAUUUCCAAAAAACCUUAUAUUGCCUAAUAAUAUAAUAACUAUAAUAACACAUUGUAUUUUUACAGUUUUGAUACUGUAACUGAAUUUACUGUGUUUACAAUUAUUGCGUCCAAUAAUUACGUUUUAAAAUUAUAAUAAAUUAAUAAUUGGUAACAAUCAUAAUAAAAAUGUAUAAUUCAUUAAAUAAUGUAACAUCACUUGCCUAUACUACUUCUGUAGCUAAUAAUUUAUAUCA
rnacentral:misc_RNA from 1 species